ensembl:snRNA U4 U4 spliceosomal RNA
AGCUUUGUGCAGUGGUAGUAUCAUAGCCCGUGAGUUUUAUACAAGGUGUAAUUAUUGCUAAUUGAAUACUUUGCCCCCCAUACGAUGACUUGCAGUAUAGUCAGGAUUGGCAAUUUUUGAUGAUCUCUACAGAGA